CCAGGGAUCAUCCCUAUUUACUAAGUUCUGGCCAGGGAGAAAAGCUCAUGAAGCACAAACAAUUCUCCCCCUUUGGAGGGCAAGGAACACAGUUGUAUUAGAGGCUGUGAAUUGAACAGAUGCCCAGAAAGGUUCUACUGUUCACAUAGUAUCUCUACUGAACAUAUAGUCUCUCUAGUUUGCUGAAGAGGAAAUUGAAACCCAGAAAAUCAAAGCCCAUCAAGUUAUCAAACCGUUUUGCAAGUGGGAAAACUGAGUGGCCAGAGAAGCCAAGUAUCUUUGUGUGUGUGCCAAGAAUCUUCGAUAACACCACACAGCAAGGAACUGGCAGAGCUGAAACUUUCAACUAACCUUAGAGUCCUUCUCCCUCUCAACAUGUCUGAAACUACAGGAAGAAUCUUUCUAAAAGCAGCCCCCUAAAAUCACCAUCUCUAGGAAUGGUUAUAAAAAUAUUUUGAUGUGGAGAAAAAGGAUACAAUCUAAACAUUUGCCAUAGUGAAACAGCAGAACAUAUUUUCUACAUCGUAUAUCAGUCAACUUUCAGUAGGUUAUGCUACAAAACAAAUUAUCACAGCAAUUCUAGUAGUUGAAAUCAACAGAGAUGUUGCUCCCAUUCCCAUUCACAUGAGCAGAAUGCAGCUCUUUUCACAGCCUUUUCAUUCCAGGAUCCAGGCUGAAGGAUCACCUUCCAUCUGUGACAUGCCAGGAUAUAGCCAAAAUCAGACAGCAAGCAUAGAACCAUGGGGUGGCUCUUAAGGAUUCUGCUUGGACAUUGCCUGCAUAACUUCCACUCCCAUUCCAUCAGCAAAAAUAAGUCUUACGGAAAUAUCUGAUGUCAGUAGGGGGUGAAGUCAUCUCCUUUCAAAGGAAAGGCCUCCCAGAGGGGCCCUGUAGAUAUGGACCUAUUAGAGAGUGACAGCAAAUAUUUCAGACAACUCAAACAAUGUUUUACAUAUACAUACUAAGUAAUAGUAUGCAGGCUUUUGAAAAUGAAACAUUAAGUCUAUAGUUAAUGACCUGAAAAAAUAUUCAUGAUGAAUAUUGCUCUACGAUAAUUAUCCAUCUCCACCCACUAAUAUGUAAAUUCCAUGAGGCCAGACCUUUGGUCUGUUUUGCUCACAAAUGUAUCUUAACCACAUGCUGAAAAAAGCAUAGAUCAUCAUAAAAAGUUAUUAAAAUAUUGAAUAAAGGAAUUUUCCUCUAAGUACAGUUUUAUAGUCAUAUCGAUUUUGUGCAAUAUUUGAGCAAUCUUUUGGUCUUGAGUGUUUUCUUAUUUUUGACCCAGUAGAUCUUUAGAAAUUAUAUUAAAUGUUUAAAUGCACAAUUAUUUUUAUGUAUGGCUUAAUUACAUUGAAAUACUUAAAAUGAUGUGCUUGCUAAAGAGUUUUUAAAUUUGAGGAGUAUUUUCUUUAUAGUCUAAUGUACCACGAAUAUUCAUAAAUAUUCUUGGUAUAUUGAAGAUAAUGUGUAUUCUCUAAUUUUUGGAUGCAAGAUAUCUUUGUAUGUUAGUCAUUUUAUAAAUUGUACUGUUUAAUAAAAUUUUCUAUAGUCUCACCUUUUUUCUCAUUAAAUUAUUUAUUAAGAAAGUGAUAUUAAAAUAUCUCACUAUUAAUCAGGACUUAGACAUGUAUUUUUGUAACUAUCGAUUUGGUUUUAUAUAUUUUCAGGUUAUAUUAUCAAGUUUAUACAAGUUUAAAAUUGUUAUAAUUGCCUGCUAAGUUGAACCUUUUAUUGCUGUAAAAGAAUAUUUCUGUAUAAGUAAUACUUCGUUUGAAGUCUAUUUGUCAGAUACCUCUACAGCAACAAUAGCCUUACAUUGUCUCUUGUUUGCCCUUUAUAGCUUUUGUCCACCUCUCUCUUUUUGACUUCAUGUGUCAGCAUCUUUUAGAUCAGCUUCUGUUAAAUAAUGUAUUAUUAGAUUAGCUUGUCUAUCCUAUCUGGAA
rnacentral:lncRNA from 1 species